rnacentral:rRNA from 1 species
GUGAGGAAUAUUGGUCAAUGGGCGAGAGCCUGAACCAGCCAAGUCGCGUGAGGGAAGAAUGGUCUAUGGCCUGUAAACCUCUUUUGUCAGGGAAGAAUAAGGAUGACGAGUCAUUCGAUGCCAGUACUUGACGAAUAAGCAUCGGCUAACUCCGUGCCAGCAGCCGCGGUAAUACGGGGGAUGCGAGCGUUAUCCGGAUUUAUUGGGUUUAAAGGGCGCGUAGGCGGGACGUCAAGUCAGCGGUAAAAGACUGCAGCUAAACUGUAGCACGCCGUUGAAACUGGCGCCCUGGAGACGAGACGAGGGAGGCGGAACAAGUGAAGUAGCGGUGAAAUGCAUAGAUAUCACUUGGAACCCCGAUAGCGAAGGCAGCUUCCCAGGCUCGUUCUGACGCUGAUGCGCGAGAGCGUGGGUAGCGAACAGG